rnacentral:misc_RNA from 1 species
AUUUUAGGGAUUUUAUUCUUUUCCCUAUUUAGGGAUUUGAGUUGUAUUUAUAUGUGUGUGUAGUAUGAAUGAAUAAAAUUAUGAAUUUCUAGUUCAAAAUUAAUAGUUAUCUAGCCCUAGUUGAGGUAAUAUUAACUCUAAAGAUUCCUUAAAACUGCUAAUUUCAUAAUGAAACUGUUUUCGAAACUAUCAAGCUAUUGAUCAACUUUCUUUUGCCAGUUAGAUAAUUUAACAACUUCUUCUUGAUGUUCAAAAAUUGUUCUUCACCUAGUUGCCAACAAUUCUAUUCAAAACUAGUGUAGUCCUUCUUUUUUCCUCUUAAUGCUAACAAUAACAACAUGCAUCUAUUGCUUCCCUAUUUUUUAUGGCCUUUCUUUUUUUAUUCCCAAAAAUAUCAUGUUUUUUAGUGGCAACAAAUAUCUUCUGAGAUGCCAAUUUAUUUGAGAAAUUAAGCUCAAGAAUUUCAAACUUUGAGCUUAUGAGUAUUACCAAGUACUAACAGCAAAUGAAAGCUUUCUGGCAAGAUUCAAGGCACAUGCAGGGUUUUAACCAUUGGACAAUAUUAGUGGAACAGCAUGACAUAGUUGAAACAGCUGUUAUCCAUAAUUUGGAAAUGGAUGUUUCACUUUCAAAAAGAAGAAUUUGCAGGCAGGCCCUAUAUCUCUCUCAUUUUGGCCCACCAACAGCGCUGAUUCCUCAAAGGAGGGGAAGGCAAAGUACAAAAGAGGAGGAUGGGGAGUGUGCCAAGAAUAUUGGAUAGGGGGGAGUGCAGUGUGUUAUGUAGUAGAAUCCCUAACAGCAGGGUCUUAUUUAACAGAAACAAUAGAAAUAAAGCGGAGAAAGAAAUAGAGUUUUAAGGAGGAGAGAAUAGAGAGAAUGAGAGAGAGAUAGAAUAGAUUCUUGAUAUUUUUCAGAAUGAUCUUCUUCAAUUAUAAUAGCUGUUAUUUAUAUAGCUACUAGCCCUUCCUAUAAUUGUUCCUACCAAAUACAACUUACUUAACAACUGGCAGAAAAAGAAAUAAAAUUUCUAGAAAGAAAAUUUCUUUCUAGAAAAGAAAAGAAAAUUUCUAGAAAGUGAGAAGGAGAAGAAGAAGAAGAAUAGGAAGAUGAGCAGAAAAAGAAAUCUUAAUUUCAAGAAGAAAGAAAGAAUAAGAAGAACAGGGUUUUGCCUAAAG